GAUGAACGCUGGCGGCGUGCCUAAUACAUGCAAGUCGAGCGAACGGACGAGAAGCUUGCUUCUCUGAUGUUAGCGGCGGACGGGUGAGUAACACGUGGAUAACCUACCUAUAAGACUGGGAUAACUUCGGGAAACCGGAGCUAAUACCGGAUAAUAUUUUGAACCGCAUGGUUCAAAAGUGAAAGACGGUCUUGCUGUCACUUAUAGAUGGUUCCGCGCUGCAUUAGCUAGUUGGUACGGUAACGGCUUACCAAGGCAACGAUGCGUAGCCGACCUGAGAGGGUGAUCGGCCACACUGGAACUGAGACACGGUCCAGACUCCUACGGGAGGCAGCAGUAGGGAAUCUUCCGCAAUGGGCGAAAGCCUGACGGAGCAACGCCGCGUGAGUGAUGAAGGUCUUCGGAUCGUAAAACUCUGUUAGUAGGGAAGAACAUAUGUGUAAGUAACUGUGCACAUCUUGACGGUACCUAAUCAGAAAGCCACGGCUAACUACGUG
rnacentral:rRNA from 1 species